rnacentral:rRNA from 1 species
AAGUCGAGCGAGAAAGGGGGGGCAACUCCCGGAGUACAGCGGCGCACGGGUGAGUAACACGUGGGUAAUCUGCCCUGAAGUGGGGAAUAACACCGGGAAACCGGUGCUAAUACCGCAUACGAUCCGCAAGGAUGAAAGGAGCAAUUCGCUUUAGGAGGAGCCCGCGGCUGAUUAGCUAGUUGGUGAGGUAAUGGCCCACCAAGGCUUCGAUCAGUAUCCGGUCUGAGAGGACGGUCGGACACACUGGAACUGAGACACGGUCCAGACUCCUACGGGAGGCAGCAGUGGGGAAUUUUUCGCAAUGGGGGCAACCCUGACGAAGCAACGCCGCGUGGGUGAUGAAGUCUCUUGGGACGUAAAACCCUUUCGACGGGGAAGAAACCGCAAGGUUGACGGUACCCGUAGAAGAAGCCCCGGCUAACUCCGUGCCAGCAGCCGCGGUAAUACGGGGGGGGCAAGCGUUGUUCGGAAUUACUGGGCGUAAAGGGUGCGUAGGCGGUCCGCUAAGUUGGAUGUGAAAACUCUGGGC